rnacentral:piRNA from 1 species
UGCUGUGCCUGGAUGUGCACAUAGGCCAG